rnacentral:rRNA from 1 species
AUUGAACGCUGGCGGCAUGCUUUACACAUGCAAGUCGAACGGAUUAGAGGGGCUUGCUCCUCUAGUUAGUGGCGAACGGGUGAGUAAUGCAUCGGAACGUACCGUGUAGUGGGGGAUAACCCGGCGAAAGUCGGAUUAAUACCGCAUACGAUCUAAGGAUGAAAGCGGGGGAUCGCAAGACCUCGCGCUAUACGAGCGGCCGAUGUCGGAUUAGCUAGUUGGUAGGGUAAAGGCCUACCAAGGCAACGAUCCGUAGCGGGUCUGAGAGGAUGAUCCGCCACACUGGGACUGAGACACGGCCCAGACUCCUACGGGAGGCAGCAGUGGGAAUUUUGGACAAUGGACGCAAGUCUGAUCCAGCCAUGCCGCGUGAGUGAAGAAGGCC